rnacentral:rRNA from 1 species
UACGGGGGGUGCGAGCGUUGUCCGGAAUCACUGGGCGUAAAGGGCGCGUAGGGGGUGUGAUAAGGGCGUGGUGAAAGUCCGGAGCUCAACUCCGGAUCUGCCGUGCCGACUGUCAAACUCGAGGGCUGUAGAGGCAGACGGAAUUCCGGGUGUAGCGGUGGAAUGCGUAGAGAUCCGGAGGAAGACCGGUGGCGAAGGCGGUCUGCUGGGCAGUUUCUGACACUGAGGCGCGACAGCGUGGGGAGCAAACAGG